UUCAGCUUCUGCUUCCUGAC
rnacentral:misc_RNA from 1 species